ACAACGAAGAGUUUGAUCCUGGCUCAGGAUGAACGCUAGCGACAGGCUUAACACAUGCAAGUCGAGGGGCAGCACGGGUAGCAAUACCGGGUGGCGACCGGCGCACGGGUGAGUAACGCGUAUGCAACUUGCCUAUCAGAGGGGGAUAACCCGGCGAAAGUCGGACUAAUACCGCAUGAAGCAGGGGCCCCGCAUGGGGAUAUUUGCUAAAGAUUCAUCGCUGAUAGAUAGGCAUGCGUUCCAUUAGGCAGUUGGCGGGGUAACGGCCCACCAAACCGACGAUGGAUAGGGGUUCUGAGAGGAAGGUCCCCCACAUUGGUACUGAGACACGGACCAAACUCCUACGGGAGGCAGCAGUGAGGAAUAUUGGUCAAUGGGCGUAAGCCUGAACCAGCCAAGUCGCGUGAGGGAUGAAGGUUCUAUGGAUCGUAAACCUCUUUUAUAAGGGAAUAAAGUGCGGGACGUGUCCCGUUUUGUAUGUACCUUAUGAAUAAGGAUCGGCUAACUCCGUGCCAGCAGCCGCGGUAAUACGGAGGAUCCGAGCGUUAUCCGGAUUUAUUGGGUUUAAAGGGUGCGUAGGCGGCCUUUUAAGUCAGCGGUGAAAGUCUGUGGCUCAACCAUAGAAUUGCCGUUGAAACUGGGGGGCUUGAGUAUGUUUGAGGCAGGCGGAAUGCGUGGUGUAGCGGUGAAAUGCUUAGAUAUCACGCAGAACCCCGAUUGCGAAGGCAGCCUGCCAAGCCAUGACUGACGCUGAUGCACGAAAGCGUGGGGAUCAAACAGGAUUAGAUACCCUGGUAGUCCACGCAGUAAACGAUGAUCACUAGCUGUUUGCGAUACACUGUAAGCGGCACAGCGAAAGCGUUAAGUGAUCCACCUGGGGAGUACGCCGGCAACGGUGAAACUCAAAGGAAUUGACGGGGGCCCGCACAAGCGGAGGAACAUGUGGUUUAAUUCGAUGAUACGCGAGGAACCUUACCCGGGUUUGAACGCAUUUCGACCGCUCUGGAAACAGAGCCUCUAGCAAUAGCGAUUUGCGAGGUGCUGCAUGGUUGUCGUCAGCUCGUGCCGUGAGGUGUCGGCUUAAGUGCCAUAACGAGCGCAACCCUUGCCACUAGUUACUAACAGGUAAAGCUGAGGACUCUGGUGGGACUGCCAGCGUAAGCUGCGAGGAAGGCGGGGAUGACGUCAAAUCAGCACGGCCCUUACAUCCGGGGCGACACACGUGUUACAAUGGCGUGGACAAAGGGAAGCCACCUGGCGACAGGGAGCGAAUCCCCAAACCACGUCUCAGUUCGGAUCGGAGUCUGCAACCCGACUCCGUGAAGCUGGAUUCGCUAGUAAUCGCGCAUCAGCCAUGGCGCGGUGAAUACGUUCCCGGGCCUUGUACACACCGCCCGUCAAGCCAUGGGAGCCGGGGGUACCUGAAGUCCGUAACCGCGAGGAUCGGCCUAGGGUAAAACUGGUGACUGGGGCUAAGUCGUAACAAGGUAGCCGUACCGGAAGGUGCGGCUGGAACACCUCCUUU
rnacentral:rRNA from 1 species